UACAGGGGGCUCGAGCGUUAGUCGGAAUCACUGGGCUUAAAGGGUGCGUAGGCGGCUCGCCAAGUGCUUUGUGAAAUCCCACAGCUCAACUGUGGAACAGCAGGGCAAACUGGCGAGCUUGAGGCAGGUAGGGGCCGGAAGAACAGUUGGUGGAGCGGUGAAAUGCGUAGAUAUCAGCUGGAAUGCCGAUGGGGAAGCCGUCCGGCUGGGCCUGUCCUGACGCUGAGGCACGAAAGCGUGGGGAGCAAACAGG
rnacentral:rRNA from 1 species